rnacentral:RNase_P_RNA from 1 species
GGAGUCGGCCAGGCAAUCGCGGCGUGCAAACGUCGAGGAAAGUCCGGGCUCCACAGGGCGCGAUGCCAGGUAACGCCUGGGCGGUGAAAGCCGACGGAAAGUGCAACAGAAAGAUACCGCCUAAGCCUGCUUCGGCAGGACGGUAAGGGUGAAAUGGUGCGGUAAGAGCGCACCGCGAGCCGGGCAACCGGCCGGUAUGGCAAACCCCAUCGGGAGCAAGACCAAAUAGGGAGGCUACGCUGCGGCCCGCAGUGUCUCCGGGUAGGUUGCUUGAGCCUUGCGGUGACGCAAGGCCUAGACGAAUGAUUGCCCACGACAGAACCCGGCUUAUCGGCCGGCUCCGCAC